GGAGGCAAAGGAGAGGGAGGAUGUCAAAUAGUAGGGGUGGGUGUUCGGGUAUCCGUUCGGGUUCGGAUUGGGUAUUUUGGAUUUUCGGGUAUUUCGGUAUAGAGGUGUAGAACCCGUUCGGGUAUUUCUGUACUUCGGGCCGGGUUCGGGUAUUUUUAAUUCGGAUUCGGUUAUUUCGGAUCGGGUUCGGAUAUUUAGAUUUUGAAAAAAAAAAAAAAAUUUAUUUCUCAAAUUUCUUGUAUUUAAAAAUAUAAAUUUCACUUAACUUAUUUUUUUAUUUUUAAUAGAUUGAAUGGUUAAUAGAUUUGGAC
rnacentral:lncRNA from 1 species